rnacentral:rRNA from 1 species
GACGAACGCUGGCGGCGUGCUUAACACAUGCAAGUCGAGCGGAGCGGCGAACGGGUGAGUAACGCGUGAGUAACUGCCCCCAUCUUAGGGAUAACAGUUGGAAACGGCUGCUAAUACAGGAUAGUGGGGGAUGACUCGGUUCUGAUCAGCUUGUUGGUGGGGUAGUCGCAGCCCAGGGCGACGACGGGUAGCCGGCCUGAGAGGGCGACCGGCCACAUUGGGCUGAGAUACGGCCCAAACUCCUACGGGAGGCAGCAGUGGGGAAUAUUGCGCAAUGGUGGAAACUCUGAUGCAGCAACGCCGCGUGCGGGAUGACGGCCUUCGGGUUGUAAACCGCUUUCAGCCAUGACGCGGUAGUGGCAGAAGAAGCACCGGCUAACUACGUGCCAGCAGCCGCGGUAAUUC